GACGUCGUAUAUCGACGUCAUAAACACAAAAGUUGACCGUGUUUAUGACGUCGAAUAUCGACGUCAUAAACACCAAAGUUGAUCGUGUUUAUGACGUCGAAUAUCGACGUCAUAAACACCAAAGUUGUUCGUGUUUAUGACGUCGAAUAUGGACGUCAUAAACACCAAAGUUGUUCGUGUUUAUGACGUCGAAUAUCGACGUCAUAAACACCAAAGUUGAACGUGUUUAUGACGUCGAAUAUCGACGUCAUAAACACCAAACUUGAUGGUGUUUAUGACGUCGAUAUUCGACGUC
rnacentral:miRNA from 1 species